UACGGGGGGAGCAAGCGUUGUUCGGAUUUACUGGGCGUAAAGGGCGCGUAGGCGGUCAGCACAAGUCAGUUGUGAAAUCUCCGAGCUUAACUCGGAAAGGUCAACUGAUACUGUGCGACUAGAGUGCAGAAGGGGCAACUGGAAUUCUUGGUGUAGCGGUGAAAUGCGUAGAUAUCUGGAGGAACACCGGUGGCGAAGGCGGCAUUCUGGACCGAUAUUGACGCUGAGGAGCGAAAGCCAGGGGAGCAAACGGG
rnacentral:rRNA from 1 species